rnacentral:lncRNA from 1 species
AUGUUACGGGGGAAAAGAUGUAUAAACAAACUGGGUGUUUUUAUGAAUGCUUGCCAGUUUAUUAAGCAGAUUCUGGUGUCUGACAAUUCUUAUGGUAGCAAUGAACGUGACAUAUUGAGUCGUUUUUCUUUCAAAGGCAGGAGCUCUUCUUACGAAAAUCAACAUAUAAAUUUUGUAAACAAACUAUCCACGGGGAGCAGAAAGGCAUUAAAUGGGCAAUUUGCAUUUCAAAACACAGGUGAAGCAUCAAAUUGGCAUGCUACCAGUUUCUAUAAAGUUUGUGCCAGGAGAACUGAUUACUCACAACCCUUGCUGACAGACAUUGCAUACUGAUAUAACUUUUUGUACAUGUGUUCCUCUACAGGAUCAUUAUGGCUUCCAGUGAAUAGCUUGGGUUUUGGAAUGGACUGUGUGUGUUCCACAAAAAGCAGAUAUGUGAUUUACGACAGCCCAAGGAACAAAGCAAGGUAGGAUAGCCUUCCUGCCUAGAAAAAUAUGUUGCUUCCAUAAGGAUGAAAUGAAUGUUUACUGAUUCGAAUUCAAUGUUUUUGAAUGAGUGUGAGAUCAUUUAGGAAUUAAUCUGUGUUGGCAGCGGUAUUGUACAGACGACAAAGUAUUUAUCCAUCCAUCCAUCUAUCCAGGUAUUUCUAUUCUAUCCUUACAUCUUAAAAAGUGUUUGAAAGACCAUUUACAUAAUACUAACCAGCAAGCAGAAUUAAAACAUUUAAUUCCAGUUUUUAAAACUAAGGCCAUGUGGUAUACAGUGAUCUCACUGGCCACCUACAACAUAGGGCUGAGGUUCCUCUGACACUGUAAUAAAGGUUUGAGAUUUUUCCCUCA